UGGUUCCACCUGCUACAUUGGGAGGCUGCACAUUAUUACAUUUUGAGGUAAGAAAUGUGCAACAUUUCUAUAAGUGUCUCAGAAUAGGGAAGCCAUUGAAAAAUCUUUGUCUUGAGUUAGAAAAUAUAUACUCUGAAGACUGAAUAUUUAAAGUAUUUUUUAUUUUUAUUAUUUUUUCCUUUUAAAAUUCAUUUCUUUCUUUUUUAACUUUUAAGUUUUUUUCUUUUUUGAAUAUUUUAUUUAUUUACAUUUCUAUCCUUUAUUUAUAUUUCUACAACAUCCUGUCUUAUUCCCCUUUCUGCUGCUUCUAUGAGGGUGUACCCCACCCAACCACCCACUCUUGCCUCCCCACCCUGGCAUUACCCUACACUGGGGCAUCGAGACUUCACAGGACCAAGGGCCUCUUCUCUCAUUGAUGUCCAACAAGGCCAUCCUCUGCUACAUAUGCACUGAAGGCAUGGGUCCCUCCAUGUGUACUCUUUGGUUGUGGUUUAAUCCCUGGGAGUUCUGGUGUAUCUGGUUGGUUGGUAUUGUUGUUCUUCCUAUGGGGUUGCAAACCCCAUUCAGCUCCUUCAGUCCUUUCUCUAACUCCUCCAUUGGGGACCCUGUGCUUAGUCCAGUGGUUGGCUGGGAACAUCCACCUCUGUAUUUGUCAGACUCUGGCAGAGCCUCUCAGGAGACAGCUAUCUCAGGCUCCUGUCAGCAAGCAUUUCUUGGCAUCCAACUUUAGUGUCUGAGUUUGGUGUCUGUAUAAGGGAUGGAUCCUCAGGUGGGCCAGUCUCUGAAUGGCCUUUUCUUUAUUCUCUGCUCCACAUUUUGUCUCUGUAUUUCCUCCUGUGAGUAUUUUCUUCCUUCUUUUAAGAAGGACUGAAACAUCCACAGUUGUGUCUUCCUUAUUCUUGAGCUUCAUGUAGUCUGUGAAUUGUAUCCUGGGUAUUACAAGCUUUUGGACUAAUAUCCACUUAUCAGUAAGUACAUACCAUGUGUGUUCUUUUGUGGCUGGAUUUCCUCACUCAGGAUGAUAUUUUCUAGUUACAUCCAUUUGCCUAAGAAUGUAAUUGUUUUUAAUAGCUGAGUAGUUCUCCAUUGUGUAAAUGUACCACAUUUUCUGUAUCCAUUCCUAUGUUGAAGGACAUCUGGGUUCUUUCCAGCUUCUGGCUAUUAUAAAUAAGGCUUCUAUGAACAUAGUGAAUCAUGUGUCCUUGUUAUAUGUUGGAACAUCUUUUGGGUAGAUGCCCAGAAGUGUUAUAACUGGAUCCUGAGGUAGUACUUUGUCCAGUUUUCUGAGGAAUUGCCAGACCGAUUUCCAGAGUGGUUGUACCAGCUUGCUCUUUUUUUAAAAAUUCACUUUACAUCCCUGUGAUUGUUUGAAGGUUUGGCUCCCAUAGACUCAUGUAUAUGAAUGCCUGGCCAUAGGGAGUGGCACUAUUAAGAAGUGUGGCCUGGUUGGAAGAAGUACAUCACUGUGUAGGCAGACACUGAGGUCUUUUAUGCUAAGGCUUUGCCCAGGGUGGAAUUCCAGUCUCCUUCUGGUUGCCUUCACAUAAAAAUGUAGAAUUCUCAGUUCCUUCUCCUGCACCACAUCUGCCUGUAUAAUGCUAUUCUUCCUGCCAUGAUGAUAAUGGACUGAAUCUCUGAAAUUAAACUCCAAUUAAAUGUUUUUCUUUAUAAGAGUUGCCUUAGCCAGGCAUGGUGGCACAUGCUUUUAAUUCCAUCACUCAGGAGGCAGAGGUAGGCGGGUUUCUGAGUUCGAAGUCAGCCUGGUCUAUAACGUGAGUUCCAGGACAGCCAGGGCUAUACAGAAAAACCCUGUCUAG
rnacentral:lncRNA from 1 species